UCUAAAUCCUGGAACUGCUUUUUCAGAUGCCUCACAACCGUCUAUGCCUAAUAUAUAACACAACAGAAGUUGAAUUUCGCUGCGAAACUUGCUAUAGAAGAUGGUUGAAGACCAGUAACCACUCGGGCAGUUUGUUGUUGUCUGACACAACAGCACUGGCACAUUUAUACCUCUGCACCAGGAAUGCCGAGAAACGAGUUUCACACAGUACACAGGAUCAUGGAACAGUCUACAACAAGACUGAAGACAAAGUGCUCACUCACCAAGAAGCGUUUCGUUUAUUUCGACCAUAAGGACCAUUUCUGAGAUGGGUGCUUUGGACUCCAGGCCAACUCUUUUCAGUAGACGUAAGAAAGACAAGGGCCUCUCGUGGAAUGGCCUGAGGAGAGCGCUGUUGUUCAAGAAACAGAAGAAGCGGAGAAAGAACGUUUUGCGCAAGCUGUCUAUCGGCAACAACAGGAGAGGAUCCCUGAACCUCAAGAGAUUCUCAAUCCCAAACAUUGGGAAGAGCUCACAGUCUCCGAAGAGAUUCUCGGUCCCAAACAUCAAGAAAAGCUCACAGCCUCCGAAGAGAUUCUCCCUUUUUCAACUUUAAGGACUUUUUGGUUGGAGUAGUCCAUUCUAUAAUCACUUGUAGAUGUGUGUGUGUGUGUAUGUGUUGAUGGGGUGUCAUCUUCGGAAUACAUCUUCAGCCAUGAUCCAAGCUAAAUAAAACUAAUCUCUUAAUUUUGGCGAUUGCCCAAAAUGUUGGCGGGCUUUUCAGUCUCUAAUCCUUUAUUCUGUAACCAGCAAAAAGGCCAACAGCUCUGAACUACUGAUUGGCUGUAGGUUAUCUUUUCCCAGAAUUACUGUAAUGAUUGUGUACUUGUGGGUCCGAGUGGCCAGGUUCUCAACGUAGAAAGAAAUUAAUCUGAGCAGGUUGAACAAACCCAUCCGCCACCUGGUCACCAUGACGUCCGAACAGUCUAGUUCCUAGACUGUGACUGAUGUGACAGGGACGACUUGUUUUUGUUUUGUUUGCCUCUUUAAACCAUUUUUAUCAUUAAAAAUAUAUAC